rnacentral:rRNA from 1 species
CCUACGGGUGGCAGCAGUGAGGAAUAUUGGUCAAUGGGCGAGAGCCUGAACCAGCCAAGUCGCGUGAGGGAGUACUGCCCUAUGGGUUGUAAACCUCUUUUGUCGGGGAGCAAAAGCCGGACGUGUUCGGCUGUGAGAGUACCCGAAGAAAAAGCAUCGGCUAACUCCGUGCCAGCAGCCGCGGUAAUACGGAGGAUGCGAGCGUUAUCCGGAUUUAUUGGGUUUAAAGGGUGCGCAGGCGGAUUUUUAAGUCAGCGGUAAAAUCGUGGGGCUCAACCCGAUCCAGCCGUUGAAACUGGGGAUCUAGAGUGUGCGAGAGGUAUGCGGAAUGCGUGGUGUAGCGGUGAAAUGCAUAGAUAUCACGCAGAACCCCGAUUGCGAAGGCAGCAUACCGGUGCACAACUGACGCUCAGGCACGAAAGCGUGGGUAUCGAACAGGAUUAGAUACCCUUGUAGUC